rnacentral:rRNA from 1 species
AGGAGAGUUUGAUCCUGGCUCAGGAUGAACGCUGGCGGCGUGCCUAACACAUGCAAGUCGAACGGAGAUUUGACGCUGAUGAGGCUUCGGCGGAUUCUUGUUAAAUCUUAGUGGCGGACGGGUGAGUAACGCGUGGGCAACCUGGCUCGUACUGGGGGAUAGCAGUUGGAAACGACUGAUAAUACCGCAUAAGCGCACAGUACCGCAUGGUACAGUGUGAAAAACUCCGGUGGUACGAGAUGGGCCCGCGUCAGAUUAGCCAGUUGGUGGGGUAACGGCCUACCAAAGCAACGAUCUGUAGCCGGACUGAGAGGUCGGACGGCCACAUUGGGACUGAGACACGGCCCAAACUCCUACGGGAGGCAGCAGUGGGGGAUAUUGCACAAUGGGCGAAAGCCUGAUGCAGCGACGCCGCGUGAGUGAAGAAGUAUUUCGGUAUGUAAAGCUCUAUCAGCAGGGAAGAAAGACUCGUAAGAGAGAUGACGGUACCUGACUAAGAAGCCCCGGCUAACUACGUGCCAGCAGCCGCGGUAAUACGUAGGGGGCAAGCGUUAUCCGGAUUUACUGGGUGUAAAGGGAGCGCAGACGGCUUUGCAAGUCUGAAGUGAAACCCCACGGCUCAACCGUGGGCUUGCUUUGGAAACUGUAGAGCUAGAGUACUGGAGAGGUAAGCGGAAUUCCUAGUGUAGCGGUGAAAUGCGUAGAUAUUAGGAGGAACAUCGGUGGCGAAGGCGGCUUACUGGACAGCAACUGACGUUGAGGCUCGAAGGCGUGGGGAGCAAACAGGAUUAGAUACCCUGGUAGUCCCCU